CUAGAGCAUAGCUUGCCUUUUUUUUUUUUUUUGCUUUUGCUACACUUGUCCUGAUUCUGUGUUUGGAAUGCCCCUUCUCACCAGCCCCGCCAAGUCCAGCUCAAAUCUCACCUCUGCCAUGAAGCCUUCUCUGACCAGUGCUUUUAUGGAAAGAACUCCAGGAACCUGGGAGGUGAAGGAAAUGAUCCAGUCUCUGCUUGCAGACUACCUGACCUCCUUCCAGACUCCUGGCCGCCUCUCUCCAGGCUUCCGGCAGCUCUGGGGGCAGCAGACCCUGUAACUUCUGCGGCAACCUGCAGCUGGGCGGGCUGCGAACGAGC
rnacentral:lncRNA from 1 species